rnacentral:lncRNA from 1 species
GCGGGUGCGAGAUUGCUGAGUCCCCGUGGCUCACAGAUACUUCCAAAACCAGUUUGCAGGUGCCUAUGUUACCGAGCAGGUGACGCAACCAAGCUCAAGGAGGAGCUCGAUGAAGAUCUUGCCCUUUGUGUUGUUUCGUUCUAGUUGAUCAGUAGUGGAGCCCAGUUGGGGUCGAUCGGGGACCUUUGUCGCAUUUGGGGUUCUUCUUUUAUUUUGGUUCCGUAGUCGGACCUUGAUUGUAUCUGGAUGAUGUAAUGCUUUAUUCAUGUAAUUGUGUGAAGUGGCGAUUGUAAGCCAACUAUGUAUCUCUUUCCCUUAUGUAUUAUAUGGGUUGUGUGAAGAUUACCUCACUUGCGACAUUGCUUUCAAUGCGGUUAUGCCUCUAAGUCAUGCUUCGACACGUGGGAGAUAUAGCCGCAUCAAGGGCGUUACAAGUUGGUAUCAGAGCCUUCCCCGACCUUAGGAGCCCCACUGCUUGAUCGUUUUUAGCGGCCGAGUUGUGUCUAGAAAAAUAUUUUGAGUCAUUUAGGAUUAUAUAUAUCGGAGAGUUAGGAAUUCUUUUUACUCCCCAGUCUCUUCAUCGCUCUGGUAAGGCAUCCUGACGUAGAGUUUUGACUCUUCUCUUCUCAAAUUUCACUAAAAAAAAUUUAGGAUCACGCAGGUAUCUUGGAAUCGUUCCGAUGGUUUUAUGAUGAGAACAUUGUCUUGGUGCCUCCUGUCAGGUGUUUAGUGGAAGUGUCCCGGGGAGUUGAGCUCUAAGGUGUUGUCGUCAUAAUUUUAUCGUUGCAGUUCUGAAAUACCUGAGUUUAGUACGCCGACAUCGAAAAUCUCUUUUAUGCAGUUGUUGGUGAGAUAACCCCGAUAACCCAGUACUGAGGUGAGUACGGGAGUAUUGCCAUGACUUGUAUAACGGAUGCUUUUCGAAGGUUGAGGUAGACGAUUUCCGAAGGUUUCUUGGUUAUGUGUUGAAGGAUGGAUACAGCUGGAUGUAGGAUUUGUUAGUUUUGGGUGAGAUAUUAUGCUUCCCCUGUAUCCCCAACACCUGAUUGCAUAACCUGAAAAUUUCGGGAGUUUCAUAGGUGGGAAUUCAAGUAGCUCUUAGGAUAUCUUUCCGACGGAUGUAUGAUAUGAAAUUGGGGUUCGGCGUCUAGUGGUCCGCCUAUUCACGGUCGUUUUUACAGUGGUCUCGUUGUGUCUUAAAGAGUCCUUGGCUAUGCCGACUCGGGGACGCUUCGUAUGUCAUGUGCACUGCCUUGUACAUGAUGGUGCUGUAUGAUCGAGCCCGUGUAGGCCCCACCACGAAAACUUCGGACGAAAUCUCUAUCAUAUGUUUGUUCUGGCUUAUUUUGCAAGCCAAUCCUUUGUUUUGUUUUGAGUUGUGGUAUUCGAGUUGCUUCGAAGUCAAAUGUUGAUUCCAUACCUUUUCCAAAUGGUGUUCUCAUAUUCCUAUGUGAAUACUAAUUCUUCUUGAUCAUCGAGUCUGUCUUGUCAAUCCUUUUUUUUAACCGGUGUGUCUCUCUUCAAGUGGAUCCGAUCACUUCAACAUCAGCAAGACCAAUUAUCAUUUCUUCUCAACGGUGUUUGUUUCAUCCGUCUCCAAGUUGCCUUUGUUCUUUCCCACCCACCCACCCUUUUUCCUCAAGGACUAAGAUUUCUUUACCAAGUAUCCUUUUAUUUUUGUGAAGUUUCUCCAUUCUUUUCCGUCAAUGUUCUUACCCGGUGGUUCUCAAGAAGAUGUUCUACUAGUUCGUCAUUCCUCAUUCCUUUCUCUUCUCCGGUGGAUUCAAGUCAAGUUUUGUUGAUCAUACCUUUUUCCUCAUUUCAAUGUCUUCUCAUACCGGUGCACCUCAUUAUCAUUAUACUUCUCGCUAUUUCUUAUUCCGGAGUGCUCAAGAUAUCUCGAAGAUUCGUGUUUCCACUCUGCAUUCGUUCAAGCUCUUUCGAGAUUGGUAUCUCAUUCAAGUCAUUUAAUUCAACCGGUGCAACAUCUCUUUUAAAUCUUUUCAACGGUGUUCUUUUGAGUGGGCCCUAACCCACAGGUCUUUUCCCAGCAUCUUACCUGACUCUUCUAUUUUCCCAGAGCUAUCCUAAAUUCUUCUCCAAGUUUGACGUAAGAAUGAGUUAUCAUUAGUCAAAUGCUUUUCUCCAAGAUCUUUCAAAUUCUUUUCAUAGUUGUCUCAACCUCUUCGCUUUUGAUUCUUCCGGUGUGCCUCAAUAAUUCUUGGUGGUGUUUCUCGUUGUCAUUCUCAUCAUUUGAAGACCGAAGAAGAGUUUCUCUUUAAUCUUGCUCUAUUCUCUUCAAGAUUCAUGGUGCUAGCUUGUUGCUAUCCUCUCAUAAUUGUUUUCGAUUGUGAGAAUCUUUUUCACCCAUCAGGAGAUAUUCAAGAGUCUUCUCAGUUUGUCAUCCGGAGUCCAUCAAUUCAGGUUUAUUCAUUCUCAGCCGUCAGUUAUCAUUCUCCUAUCUUGCCAGUGCAUCUAUCGAAUAUCCUCUAAUCAGUUCUUGAUCUCUUUGUUCUCAUGUAUCUAGUUUGUCUCAAGCACCUUCGUUCAUUUGCUAAUUCUUACCGGUGAUGCACCCCUACUUCAAUCAUUUUCAAUUCUUAUGGUGGUUCUUUCAAGAUCUCUCUUCCUUGUUCAUCAUAUCAAUUCAUUUGUUGUUCCAAUCCUACCGGUGGCGUUGAAGACCUUCUCAAGUUUUGAUUUAUCUCUUUUAAUCCUUUCUACGAGAAUAAGAAGUAUGCCAAAUCCGUUGAUUGUCGUCAAUUUAAUUGGUGAAGGAUAAGCAUAACAUAGUUCUUAUUCUUGUUCAUCCAAGUGAUUAAUUCUUUAUUCCGGAGGCCCUUAAAAUUCUCGGUUUCAUUUGUUUCAUCUUCUCUUUUUCCCGGAGUUCCAAGCUCUAAUUAUCACGGAGAUCCAUCUAAAUCAUUGCAAGGAUUCACCUUGUGUUUUCAAUUUCUCUUUCUUUUCAUUCUUUUUGUUUACCGGAGUUCUUCAUGGAGGUUCUACAUGAUUGUUCAUCAAGGAUUUAAUUCCCUUCUCAAAGUUUUCAUCAAGAUUCAUUUCUAGGGAGCUCAAGCUUUCUUCAUAUUGUAAUCCGGAGUGCAAUUUCUUUCUACCAUAUUAUCGGAGGUGGUAUUAUGUCAUUCUUGAUAAUUUGAGUUCAUGUUUUCCAUGAUUCACAUGUUGUUAAGAAUGAGUUAUUUUUAAAUCCAUCAACCUCGUUGUUGGAGUUAUCUUGUGUCAUAUUUCACCUAAAAGCCUUCCAUUGGGAAUGUUGCUAUUUCUGGUGCUUGCCAAUGAUCCAAGUUAUCUCUUUAUCAUCUUGGUGGAAGAAGUUUUCAUCUCUUCGUUGAUCUCAAGAAAGCAAUUGUUUCCGUUAGUGGCCGGUUGUCACCUCAUAAUUUUGAGAUGUUUUCCAUAAGCCCACUACAAGCUUGUGCUUUUCGUUGUUGAUUUUCCAACAACUCCGUUCAAUUCUUCUUUGCAAGGAUGCUUUCCAAACUCUUUUGUGGCAGAAGUUGGCAUUUUCUUCUCCAUUCUGUUAUUCCAAUGAUAUAUCUUCUAUUAUUUCUUUCGGAGGCAUUGUGACGUUGCUCUUUUCACUCACCAUCUCGAUUCGUGAGGAUCGUGUUCUUUUCUUGCUUAUCCAUUUAACCGGAGUGUCGUGUUUUCAUUCGAGUUCUCUAAUCUUAUCAAGUUUUCCCUCCUUCCUCAACUGGAGAGCUGUCUGAAAUCCUUCUUACCCAUUGUGCCAUUCUUUCAAUAGUUCCGGAGGCAGUGUGUUGUUGAUUUCAUCAAGUAACAUCCCAUCUUCUCAAGUUCAUGUUCUAUUCCUUCCAUGUUCAACCGGAGUACUGCCCGAAUUCUUCCCCUCUCAUCUUGUUUUAACCGGAGUGGUUUCGAAUUCUAUCUUGUCCAUUAAACUCUUGAUUCAUGUCUUUGCAACCUUCAAGUUUUCGUAAUGUUCCUUGUUCCUCUUUCUAACGGAUUGUUUGCAAUCCCGUUCAUCUCCUUUGUAUUCUUUCUUUCAAUUUGUUCAACCUCUCAAGGUUCUUUGGUUUCACUCAUUGGUCAAAGAAGCAACUUAGUUUUACCUCUUCUCUUCCUCUUCCAUUUCUCUCCGGUGCCAUCCUAGAUCUCGGGACGAGAUCCUCUUGUAGUGGUGGAGUGUUGUAACGCCCCGAGACCGACGCUCCAGAAGACUUCCAGCUAUUCCGAGUUUCGUCGUGUGAUUUGUUUUAUUUGUUGCAUUCAUCCUUGCAUCAUGUGCAUUGCAUCAUGUCAUCAUGCCAUCAUAUCAUUAAUUUUUAAAACCUUAACUAAAUAAAUUGUAUGGAUUUUUCGAUCCAUUUAAAUCGAGGGACUCACAUGGUGACUUCUCUUUAUAACAUAUCCUCCAAUAUUAUGGAGCUAUAUUAAAUAUUCCACUAUUUUGGAAUCACCAAAACACACUUACAAAAUAAUUUCGUUCCUUUUCUGCUUCAAGUUUGGUCUCCAACCUUGCCAAUAUUUAUUUCAUCAUUUUCCGGAGCUCCACCAAAAAUCCAAACAUUUUUGGACCUUCCCAAACCUCACUUCUUAUUCAAAUCAUUUGAAUUUAAAUCAAAUGAGUUUGAAUUUAAUCUUUCAAUCAUGGCCUUUCUAUUUUUCUCGGAACAAACUCAUUUUUGUGAGUCCAAGGAAAUUAUCCCCUUGCGCAUUUUCUUUCCCUAACCCUCCUUUUCUUUUCCUCUCUCUUUUUGCUUUUCUGUUAAAGAAAAUAUAAGAGAGAGAAGAGAGAGGUAAGCCCAGCCAGGCCUCUGGCCAUUUCCUCUCCACAUGGGCCGACCCAACCGGCCUCUCCAGCCGCAGCCCACCUAACCCUCCUACCUAAGCCGGCCCAAGGCCCAGCCGCCUCUAACCCUAGCCCAGCCCCCACGCACCCCAUCUCUCCCCUCGUUCCUCCUCCAGCGCCGCAGCCUCCUGCGCCCGAUCCUCUCGCGGCCGCUCCCCUCGAUCCCCUCGCCUCUCUCCUCUCUCGAUCCCCCACUCUCCCUCGUCUCCUCCCUCGCGCCGUCACCAUACACCGCAUCGAGCCAGGGAGAGGAGCUCCCUGCGCCCGAUCCCCUCGUUUCCCUCUCCUCGAUCCCGAGCCCGAGCGCGCAGCCCUCGACCUUCCCCUCGCUCCCGCGCUCCGCCCUCGCCGGAGAAGAUAACCAGGACGGAGCCCCAUCGGCCUCCUCUGCGCCCCACCUCUCCAUCUCCCCCUCGCCCGCGACCCGAGCUAUGCACUCAUGGCUGCGCCUUGGCCGCCUACCUCCGCUGCCGUCGCGCCCUUCGGUCCCUGUGCCUCGCGACCGCGCCAAGUCCGCCCCGUCUCCUCGCGCCGGCCCUGCCGCCAAGCCCUGCCGCCGGAGCUCGCCUUCGUCCUGACUCCGGCAGGAUCAGGGCCCUGCUUGUCGCGCCCCGCAGGAGGGCCACCCUGCGCGCGACCUCGCCGGGCCUUCUCUGCUGCCCUUCGCCGCGCCAAGUUCCCCGCCGCCAGGGACGCGAGCUUCUCUGCCUCCCCCGGCGUCCGUUCACGCUCUAGCGCCGCCGCCAUCGUCGGAGAUGGGCUCCCGCCGCCCAGGUCCGCGUCUCGUCCUCGUCCUCGCCCAAUCCCCGUCGCCGAUGCACCUGGACAUCGCAUCGUUGCUCGUGGCAUGCCAAGACCGCCCCGUGGAGUUCGCGAGUUACCACUACGAAGGCCUCUGGGUUCGCCAAGUACCCAACCGACAAGACCCCACGGACGUCUACCUCCAGAUGGAUUUCGUCAAGUUCGACGACCGCGUCGAGUACCUCUACCGCCGUCUACGGAAACAACAAGUACCCCGACGUCGCGUGUACCACUACCGUCGACAUGAACAUCUACGAAAACAUGUACCAUCUACCAUUGCCAAGAUCGCGAGUACCUCUACCGUCGCCGUGAACAACUACUUCCCUCGACGACUCGAACCGCUCCGAAAACGCACGCUUCGAAGGUAUAACCCCGAGACGCCGUCCGUGGACCGAAUGCAUGUGUUGAAUGAGAUGCAUCGUUUGCUCCGUGAUCAAAUCGUCCUUGCGAUGCCCCUCUUUUGCCGUGCCGUCGACCCGUGGGAACCCGGUAACCGGGAGCACCCCACCAUCUUGCAUGACUCGCUCACGCCACUUUCUUUUGCACCGACAUCUCAAUGAGUUGUUGGAUAACCGAUAUGUUGCCGUGGCAUCAUUUUUGGAUAUGUUGCCGUGGCACCAUUUUUGUUUCACCGCCGUGGCACCUUUUUCCUUCCGCCAUGGCGACAAAUGCUUCAUAACAUGCUCGUGUCAACAUUUUCAUAAAAUUGCAUAAAACUUGUAUAUGUCAUCCGCAUCAUGAUAACAACAUUUAAAAUGUUUAAAAUUGUUGUUGCAUUAAAUUGCUAAAUGCAUAUGGGGAUUUACCGGAUUUGUUGUUUUUAUAUCCGGCCCCAUUUAAAUUGUUUAGAUGGUAUAGUUUAUAUUAUGCUUCACCUCUUGCCAUGUUUAACAACAGUUAAUAUUGUUGGGUAGCUUAAACGGGAGAUAACUAAAUAAUUGAUAUGGUGUUCCGUCAACAUGCACCUCGUUGCAUAUUGAGCUCCACUUAACUUGUAGUAUUGUUUGUUGCACUUUGCCAUGCCAUGCCUCAUUAAACCGGACAUGCAUCAUACUUGUUUGCGCAUCAUGCCAUGUUUAUGUGAUGUUUGUUUACUAUGUUGUGUGCUUCUUUUCCGAUGUUUGCUUCUUCGGGUUGGUUCCGAUAACGUCGAGGUUGUGAGGAUCCGUUCGUCUACGUCCGUUUGUCUUCUUCAUGGAUUCGUUCUUCUUCCUUGCGGGAUCUCAGGCAAGAUGAUCAUACCCUCGAAAUCACUACUAUCUUUGCUAUGCUAGUUUGCUCGCUCUUUUGCUAUGCCAAUGCUACGAUGCCUACCAUUUGCUUGUCAGCCUCCCAAAUUGCCAUGUCAAACCUCUAACCCACCAUGUCCUAGCAAACCGUUGAUUGGCUAUGUUACCGCUUUGCUCAGCCCCUCUUAUAGCGUUGUUAGUUGCAGGUGAAGAUUGAAGUUUGUUCCUUGUUGGAACAUGGAGUUGUUGUUCCUUGUUGGAACAUGUUUACUUGUUGGGAUAUCACAAUAUAUCUUAUUUAAUUAAUGCAUCUAUAUACUUGGUAAAGGGUGGAAGGCUCGGCCUUAUGCCUGGUGUUUUGUUCCACUCUUGCCGCCCUAGUUUCCGUCAUAUCGGUGUUAUGUUCCCGGAUUUUGCGUUCCUUACACGGUUGGGCUAUAAUGGGAACCCCUUGACAGUUCGCCUUAAGUAAAGCUCUUCCAGCAAUGCCCAACAUUGGUUUUACCAUUUGCACUAACAACCUACCACCUUCCCUUGGGUUCUGCAGACUCAAGGGUCAUCUUUAUUCUAACCCCCCCGGGCCAGUGCUCCUCUGAGUGUUGGUCUGAACUAGAGCCCUGUGCAGCGCCCCCUCGGGGAAACUCGAGGUUUGGUUUUAGUUGUACGGAUUGCUCAUCUGAGUGUGCCCUGAGAAAGAGAUAUGUGCAGCUCCUAUCAGGAUUUGUCGGCACAUUCGGGCGGUGUUGCUGGUUUAGUUUUACCCUGUCGAAAUGUCUUGUUGUACCGGGAUACCGAGUCUGAUCGGAACAUCUCGGGUGGAGGUCUAUUCCUUCGUUGACCGUGAGAGCUUGUCAUGGGCUAAGUUGGGACACCCCUGCAGGGUAUUAUAUUUCGAAAGCCGUGCCCGCGGUUAUGGGCAGAUGGGAAUUUGUUAACGUCCGGUUGUAGAAAACCCGAAGUUGACCUUAUUUAAAAUACAUCAACCGCGUGUGUAACCGUGAUGGUCUCUUCUCGGCGGAGUCCGGGAAGUGAACACGAUGUUGGAGUUAUGCUUGACGUAGGUUGCUAUAGGAUCACUUCUUGAUCAUACUUUUAUCGACCGUGCUUUGCCCUCUCUUCUCGCUCUCUUUUGCGAUUGUAGCCACCAUAUAUGCUAGUCGCUUGCUCCAGCUCCACCUCAUUACUCCAUCCUUCCUAUAAGCUUAAAUAGUCUUGAUCUCGCGGGUGCGAGAUUGCUGAGUCCCCAUGGCUCACAGAUACUUCCAAAACCAGUUUGCAGGUGCCUAUGUUACCGAGCAGGUGACGCAACCAAGCUCAAGGAGGAGCUUGAUGAAGAUCUUGCCCUUUGUGUUGUUUCGUUCUAGUUGAUCAGUAGUGGAGCCCAGUUGGGGUCGAUCGGGGACCUUUGUCGCAUUUGGGGUUCUUCUUUUAUUUUGGUUCCGUAGUCGGACCUUGAUUGUAUCUGGAUGAUGUAAUGCUUUAUUCAUGUAAUUGUGUGAAGUGGC